rnacentral:misc_RNA from 1 species
AAGCCACCCUGUCACGUGUCUGUCAGAUGGUGCUCCAAGACAGUACUGUCAAGAAAGAGGAUCUGCGGGCCCGAGCAAAAGCCUUGAAAGCUCUUGGAAGGAUAUUUCAGCAGAACAAGUCUGCCAAUGGGAAUGAGAGUGAGGCAUCCAUUGGAGGUGGUGAUACGCAGAACAAGUUGGGUGGUACCGAGCGCAACGGCAAUAGUUCUCCAGAAACGUCACCGAAAUCCCCUAUUGUGCAGCCAACUUAUGGGACUCCCCUUAAUCAGAGCCCAUAUGUGGAGGCCCCUCACUUUGUGGAUUCUCACUUCGCCUACAAUU